GACGAACCGUACAAACGUUAUUCGGAAUCACUGGGCUUAAAGGGUGCGUAGGCGGCCCUAAAAGUUGGGUGUGAAAGCCCUCGGCUCAACCGAGGAAUUGCGCCCAAAACUGUAGGGCUUGAGGGAAACAGAGGUGAGCGGAACUACGGGUGGAGCGGUGAAAUGCGUUGAUAUCCGUAGGAACACCAGUAGCGAAAGCGGCUCACUGGGUUUCUUCUGACGCUGAGGCACGAAAGCUAGGGGAG
rnacentral:rRNA from 1 species